AUCACUUGCUGUGGGGAAAGCUGGCUGCCGUGAUGUGAGAACACUCAUCAAGUCCUAUGGGGAGACCCACAUGGUGAGGAACUGAGGCCACCUGCCAAUGGCAGUGUGAGGGCAUCAUCUUGAAAGUGGACCCUCCAGCCCCAGGCAAGCCUUCACAUAAGACUGCAGCCCCAGCUGAUAUCUUGACUGCCACCUCAUGAAAGACCAUGAACCACAGCCAUCCAGCUAUGCUGCUCCAAGUUCCUGACUCACGGAAACUAGUUUGAUGGAAGCAAGAAACAAAAUCGACUCUUCAGUUUUGAAAUACACAGGAAGACUGGCUUCCGUCUUGUGGCACUCUCUUGUUUUCUUGUCUGCUGGCUGCAUCGAAACAACGAUUGUGUGUGAGCUACCCCAAAGAGAAUCACACGUGGUGAUGAACUGACAGAGGCCUCCAGCCAAUAGCCAAUGAGGAACUGAGGCCCUCAGUGCCACAGCCCAUGAGGAACCGAUCCUGCCCCCACCACUGAUUUCACUUAGAAGUGGAUCCUGCCCCGUUGGAACCUUCAGAUGAGCCCACAGCUGUGGCCGACACCUUGGUUGCAGUCUGUGAGAGGCCGUCAGCCAGAGGACCUGGCUCAGCCACGCCUGGAUUCCUGCCCCACUGAAACUGUUGGGUGUGGACGGAAGAACAAAGGUGCAGAAGGAGGCAGGAAAAGACACAGAUGUAAGCUGAGGCGGCCGUGUGAAAUACCACAGGAGUUCAGGAAAGCUCAAGACUUUUCUCUGAUACUUACUGUGGGAAUCUGGUCGAGCUCCUGGAGCGGAAGUCGGCAUUGAUGGAAAUGGAGCCAUUUGCCAAAAGCUAAUGGUGGUGAGAGGGAUGUCUGUGUGUUCUACCGUAUCAGCUGGGUGUCACAAAGGUGGUUCAAUAUCUGCAGCAUUAGAAUGAGGGACAGCCUCCAGCAAAAUCAUAAUGGAACACACCCAAGUACUCAAUGUUGGCCAUUGGGUUUCCUGAUGCAAAUUACGUUUUCCCUGAAGCCUUGGGCUGCCUUGCGCAUGAAUAAUUUUUGGAGAAACACCCACGCCCGUUAGCCCAUUGUUCGUAACUAUUGGAAGAAGAUUAACCAGAGCCUGGAAAUUGUAUAUCUGCGUAUGCCUCUGAAUCUGUCACAGGAAACCAAAGGAGAUAAGUGGCUUUUACUUUGGAUGAAGAGACAAAAACAUUUAACAAGGUUAAAAAAUGAAACCCAGUGAAAAAGAUUGGAACACAGUCAGAUAACCGGUGAGGUGACAGAUGGAAAAACAACAGAAUGCAUGCCCCUUUGAAGGCCUUGUAAUCUUUGGAUUUAGUGUGAAAAGUUUCAGAAAAUCAUAGACUUUUACUGUGUCACUGUCUGUAGACCCUGGAAAAAUAACAGUAAAUUCAUGUAUAUGUACAUCUCCUCACUGCUUACCCAGAGUUACAUAAAUCCUUCCCAAA